GAUGAACGCUGACAGAAUGCCUAACACAUGCAAGUCAUUGGCGAAGCUGCGCUUGCGCAGUCUAGCCAAGGCGGACGGGUGAGUAACGCGUAAGGAACUUGCCCUGCAGACAGGGAUAACAGACGGAAACGACUGAUAACACCUGGUAUUGUCAGGCUGGCGCAUGCCGGCCUGAUGAAAGGAGACGCUGCAGGAGAGCCUUGCGUCCUAUUAGCUAGUUGGUGGGGUAACGGCCCACCAAGGCGAUGAUAGGUAGCCGGCCUGAGAGGGUGAACGGCCACAAGGGGACUGAGAUACGGCCCUUACUCCUACGGGAGGCAGCAGUGGGGAAUAUUGGACAAUGGGGGCACCCCUGAUCCAGCAAUUCUGUGUGCACGAAGAAGGUUUUCGGAUUGUAAAGUGCUUUCAGCAGGGAAGAAGAAAGUGACGGUACCUGCAGAAGAAGCGACGGCUAAAUACGUG
rnacentral:rRNA from 1 species